GUUGCGGCUAAUGUGGAGCAACUGCAGAAGCUUGGAGUGAAAAAGGUUCUUGUGAAGAACUUGCACCUUGUCGGCUGCACACCAUCGCAAACACGAACCAACAAUUACACGGCCUGCGAUGUCUUUGGAAAUUUUGGUGCAUCCAUCCAUAACAAUAACCUAAAACAAGUGAUGGCAGCAAAGAAAAAUGUCAACGUUGUCAACCUAUACACCACCUUCACUAAUAUUGUGGAUAAUACGCCGGGCCAAGGACAAGAGCUAUCCAAGCAAUUCAAGCGCAACUUGUCGCCGUGCUGUGAGAGUUUUGAUUCAAAGGGUUACUGCAGACAACAAAGCGAGUCAUCGGAGCUUCUUUACCGUGUUUGCGACAAGUCUAGCAAAUUUUUCUACUGGGGUGCCAUCAUAGAUUAA
rnacentral:rRNA from 1 species